rnacentral:rRNA from 1 species
GAUGAACGCUGGCGGCGUGCCUAACACAUGCAAGUCGAACGGUGGCAGUAAUGUCAUAGUGGCGCACGGGUGAGGAACACGUAGCUAACCUGCCCUCGAGUGUGGGAUAACGCCCCGAAAGGGGUGCUAAUACCGCAUAAGCUCACGCUGAGCAAGUAGGCGUGAGAAAAGAUUAAUCGCUUGAGGAGGGGGCUGCGGCCCAUCAGGUAGUUGGUGAGGUAAAGGCUCACCAAGCCGACGACGGGUAGGGGGUCUGAGAGGAUGGCCCCCCACACUGGGACUGAGACACGGCCCAGACUCCUACGGGAGGCAGCAGUGAGGGAUAUUGCACAAUGGGGGAAACCCUGAUGCAGCGACGCCGCGUGGGUGAUGAAGGCCUUCGGGUCGUAAAACCCUUUUACCACUGACGAGACAAGGACGGUAGGUGGUGAAUAAGCCUCGGCUAACUACGUG